CCUAUUCCUCCUUUGUGAGUGGUUAUUUGAGUGGUCAGAUCACAGUUCCAACACUCCUAGGGUCUACUCUUACAGCACAUAGAAUUCAUACACUUCUUAGCUGCUGGUUUUGACUGCUGUUUUGUGCUGUAAGACAGCAAAAGAUUUGAACUGAAUUAAAAUUUUAGUGCUUUUAAAGUCUACACAGAUUAUUUCUAACUACUACUUCAUUGUGAGCAAAAUAUAGCAGAUCUUUUUGGUAAAAUGUGGAUCUUUUCUUUCUCAGAAUUGACAUCUGAGAAACGUGUUGGCAUUUCCGCUCCUCGGGGGGAUGAGGUUUACAAUAUGGGAGAAACUUGCUAGUCCAACAGCACAGAAUCUUAGAAUUAAAAAACCCAACACACUUAUAGUUCAAGAGGAAGCCAAUUGUUCCAGCAUUACAGCAUCCAGGACAGAACAUAUAUUGGCAUCAUAACUGCUUACGGUCAGUUGUACCUCUCAAGUCUCAAACACACUUCAGGGAUAUUUUAUGCUUAACUGAUGCAGCCUGUCCAAAGUCACUCUCUGGUCUAAAAAACAGCAUUUUCACAGAAGCUCUCACUGCAAUCCACAUACACUCAGAAGAUGUGGAAUCACUGCAAGGUAUGUGCCACUAACAAACAAGUGUCUAAUAAUGAAAAAACAUAUCAAUAAACAUACAGCCAACAACCUGCAGUUACUUAGUGAUAAUCAUUAUUUCACAAUAACCAAGGCUAUUUAACCCCCUGAGGGUUAAAGGUUG
rnacentral:lncRNA from 1 species